AUUUUUUGUCUAAUCGGCUAUAACCUGUCAGAUAAGCUAUUAGUGUUUUAGUAAGUUAUUGUUAGGAGACUAUCGUCAUCAAUUAAAGGCAUGUUGUCAUGCCUUUGUUGCUUCAUUCUGUGGUAUUAUUUCCUAUUUGGGGUUGUCUGCUUCAUUCACAAGGAAUGAAAACGAUGCUGGCAACAGCUACAUAAGUAGGAACAGGUUUUAUGAGUUUGUUGGGUUAUUUAAUUUUCUUGCCUGGUUUCGCCAAAGAUACAGGGUAACGACUGAGACUGCUACUCCCCCUGAAGACGUUAAUGAUAAUGGUGCAACACUUCUGGUAUAACCAAUUAACUGCAC